GAUGAACGCUAGCGGCAGGCUUAAUACAUGCAAGUCGAGGGGCAGCAUGAUUGUAGCAAUACAAUUGAUGGCGACCGGCAAACGGGUGCGGAACACGUACAUAACCUUCCAACAAGUGGGGGAUAGCCCAGAGAAAUUUGGAUUAAUACCCCGUAACAUAGCGAUGUGGCAUCACAUUGCUAUUAUAGAUUUUUCGCUUGUUGAUGGGUGUGCGGCUGAUUAGAUAGUUGGCGGGGUAACGGCCCACCAAGUCUACGAUCAGUAGCUGAUGUGAGAGCAUGAUGAGCCACACGGGCACUGAGACACGGGCCCGACUCCUACGGGAGGCAGCAGUAAGGAAUAUUGGACAAUGGACGCAAGUCUGAUCCAGCCAUGCCGCGUGAAGGAUUAAGGUCCUCUGGAUUGUAAACUUCUUUUAUAAGGGACGAAAAAAGGCUUUUCUAAGUCGUCUGACGGUACCUUAUGAAUAAGCACCGGCUAACUCCGUGCCAGCCGCCGCGGUAAAAC
rnacentral:rRNA from 1 species